UCAGAACAGAGCCACGCGAUAGCUUUUCCUCCACCCUCCUCACCGCACUCGUCUGGGGUGGGGGCGGCGGCGGCGCCGUCGCGAAGCUGUUCCGGCGCCAUGUCUACCGAUGGCAUCGAGCUAAACGGUGUGGAGCCCUCCAGUACUCCCGCUGGAGUCUCAGGAUUCCAUGAGCGUCGUUGAAUGUCGAGGGAGUCGUCGCCGGCAAGCCACACGCCGUGGGAGACGAAGCCAAAUAUGACGUUUGCUCUGAAGCGACCAGCGGGUGGACGUGAAGGUGAUGGUACACUUCCGUUUGGCAAAAAUACCUGAGAAGCACAUAAUGAAGUGCUGGACAAGACAGGCUCGUGACAUUCUUCCUGAACACUUGGUUAGGUACCAGAAAGACAGAGGGCUUCCUGCGAGUGAUACAUUCAGGCAUCACACUAUGUACAUGUAAGCGCUUGAGUGUGUGGUACUUGGUGAUAGCAAUGUGAAAUGUUAUGAAGUUUUCAUGACUAUGAUGAAGGAGGUCCAUGCCACUCUGCCACCUUUCAGUGUAGACAAGGAUGGUUUGCGGCUUGCUGAGCGAGAGAAGCAGCAGCAGUUGGUAGCCAGCGCUCAACAGGGGUUGAUCCAAGCAAAUGCCGGUCUUGAGGAGAAAAAUGGAGAUGGUGAUUCUAGUUGUUUAGGUGUGGGUGUGCAUCAGAAAAAAUGCCAGAGGGGGAGACGAACAACAAGUCGAGACAAGGCUCCUUAUGAAAAGCAUUUGAAGAGGUCUAGGUUCUGUACAAUUUGCAGAGUGCAAGGGCACAAAUGCACGACCUGCCCUCACAGAGGUGAUUUGCCGAAGGCUCCAAGAAAAUUGCCGAAGUGUACCAAUUGUGGGGUGGUUGGACAUCGACGGAAUGCGUUGGGCACUAAAAAAACUGGACCGUUCGGGCCUAACUUUUUAUAACUAAAAUCAGGACAUUCUUGUUAAGGGGAAUGUGUUGGCAUGCGUGAUUGUUGUACUUUAGUUUCUUAACUUGUCAUAAUGUUUCCCUUUCCUGCUGGAGUUGAAAAUCAUCGUACCUGCAACCAUAUUUUCUUUCCAUUUUGAGCUUGGAAAUUUGGUUAAUGGACAUUGAAAUUGUGAUGCGUUCACCCA